rnacentral:lncRNA from 1 species
CCCGCUAAUCGCCCCUCCUCUCGUAAACAUGCCACCCUUCCCGCAAUCUCCUUCAUGCCCUCCCCCUGCACAACCGUCGCCCGCCCACGAUGGUCCCCAUCCUCUCCGCAAGCCGCUCCACCUCCCCGCUCGUCCACGGUCUGCCCAUCGCGCCCGCUACCCCACAGUCUGCGCACCCUCCACGACGUCAGCACCACCUCCUCCAUGCCACCUCCACGCGUGCGCUGCGCCGCCUCCACGCUGCCGGCGCUGCUUCGCGCCGCCUAGGAGAGCGGCCAGGAGAUCUUGAUGCUUGACCAUGGAGGGAGAGGACGCCGCCAUACGCCGAGGGAUUGCCAUCACUAAUUAGCGCAGGAAUCUACUCAACUACAGGGAGCGCUAGGAGAUCUUGACGAUUGGCUGAUGGGGAGGACGCCGCGGCAGGAAGUUGCUCAACUGUAGGGGACUCGAGUCCCACGAAAGGCACCGGUGAGUCAUCUGAUCCCCUUCUAUCCUCAAUCCUCAGUCCUCACCCACCCCUCUUAGUACGUGUGGACUCACCAGUAAAAUUGGGUGUGGAUCAAAUUCAUCCAAUAAUUUAACAUGUGCUUGUGAACUCAUGACUCGCCAGCGUCUUUUGAUCAUUCAUUCCUUUUCUAAGUCAUCUCCCUGCAGUCGCAAGAGCUAGAUGGUGCUCUGCUUCUGUGCCGUUCUGUAGUGGGGCUGCUGUUUGAUUGGAUUUUUUUCAAAUGGCCAGCGGUGCUGAAUUGCUGGUUUGAUAUGGUUGUAUUCGCGUCAUGAUCAGAGCUUUUGGUGUUGAGCUCUUGCCUAUCGAUGCCUCGGAACCGUACUUUCUAUACUUAAUUGAUGAUGCAUUUGUUGUUCUUAUUUGUAACUUGGCAACUACUGCAAAUACAAGAGAUACUUAUUAAUUCUUCGUUCAGUCUUUUUGAAGUCUUUAGUAUGUCAGAGCAUUCCAGUGACAUUUCGAUAGUGGUGUUUCAGAGUAUUCCUGGAUAAUUUUAGUAUAGCUCAAAACCAAGACAGGGAAAAACAUACUAUUAAGUAACGUUUCAAAAUUUUGUGGAUUAGCAAUAACAUAGCUAUAAAAUUAUUCUAUCACGUGUAACCAAAGUUCCCUUGGAUUCUCUUUUUUUCUUAAUGGAAAUGUUAAUCCUGAUAAAUCAUUACAGACAACCAGUGAGAUCAGAUUCUCUAGAAUUUUCUAAUUUAGGUGUUGCUUCAAAGUUCAGUGUCUCCAAAAUAUCUUGAGAAGAAUACAUAAUUCAACUCCUGCUACAGCUCAUGCAUUCAUGUAUUUGUGAACUUUAGGAAAUGUGUGCUUAGAAAAAAGAAAGGCACAUGCAAUUUAGCUACCUAGAGUAUUCAAGGAAACCUCUUGCGUGUUUAAUAAAAAAAGAAUAAUAGAAUACAAAGAAAUACCUAAUCCAUAGAACUGUUCAGGCAGUUAGUUUCCUUUGAGAUGAUCCCUUUCUCCAGACCAGUGGCACCUAUGUGCACUAUAUAGUUGUUUUGCAUCCAAUGGCAAAUCUAGACUUCUCAAGAUAACCUCUAUCAGACUUCUUAAUGCUUAGUUAUCUUUUUUACACAAGAGAUCAUUCAAAAGGUGAUACUAACACUGGUUAAUAAAAAGAUUGUCAAGAUUUUUUUUAGAAAAAGAAGAAAAAAAUUAUGGCGGGCUGAAAGGGCAAUGGUACAAUAUCAAUCAACCAAGGUGCAGACUAAGAUACUGCUAUGCAGUGUUGCUCCUCUAUGAGGCUCGAGGAUUUUAUGUGCUUGCAGCCUGAUGUGUUAAAAUAGAAGCUCUUCAAAGUUGUGAGACUUAAUCUCUUGCUUUGUUCUCGUUGUUGACAUUUCAGAAUUCAGAAAAAUAGAACCCACCAAGUAGGGACAUGCGUAAACCAAAGUGCCCAGUCUAAAUGAGGCAAUCAAGGCCACAAAUGAUGAACCCAUCUUCAAAUCAAAGCUGGCAUUAUCAAUCAACCAACUUCCAAUGAAGACUACAGGCGAUGAACCCAUGGUUAUAUUUCUCAACAAAUAUCUAAAUUUCAAAAUUGCUAUUUAAAUUGAUUUGCAAACUUCCAGGUGGCUUUUAUUUCCCCAUGUCAUUGUGAUCAUACAUCAUCAUAUUUUUGCCCAAUGCUAUAGGACAUUGAGUUACUGAAUCAAUCUUAUAUGUGUCCGUUGAUAAGGAUCUUUGCACAAUAUUUCUUUUUGAAGAAUAUAUUUACACAACAUAAAACAUGACUUUUGUAUGCCUCAUGUUCAAGGUCCGUGAACAUUUUGAUAUGAAGAUCUACAUGAUGUCACAAGCCCCGUCUAGAGACUGAUAACAAGCAUCAUCAUCUAGAAAACCUUCUCAUUGGAACUGUGCUAUUGACAACAGUCCUUGGCCUUAAUGUAACUUAGAUAUACGUUGUUCUGCCCUUGAUUCUUUUUUGGAACUGUUCUGCAACCUAAUUCUACUGAUUUGUACCAUGUACAUGAACACGUUCAUAGAACAUGACUUAGAGGUUGUGACUAUGGUUGCUGAAAUCAUGUUGCUAAAAUAUGUUAUAAAGCUUCUUAGCUUUCUACCGUACAGCUAUAAAUUAUAAGAUUUUAUGUAUGUAUAUGUAUUACCUGUAGCAACGCACGGGCACUUAACUAGUGAACUAAAAAGCAGCAUUUUUUUUUCUUCUCCAUUUAUAUUAAGGAAUCAUCUCAUAGGGUUACCUAGGGAGCUUGAGCACGCCCUCAGUCUUUCUGAAAAAGUUGGGUCUGAUUCGAAACGCCUGAAGUUUACAGAGAGGUUGGGCGCACAAAACAAGUCAUUCAUGUUUUGGAAAAAAAAAACAAGUCAUUCAUUAUUUGGCCAGAGUCGAUGGGAAAAAAAU